GGAAAAGGAACAAAGGCUAAGAAAACCACGUCCUGUGGCGACGCCUUUGUGACCAACAUCCUGUUGG
rfam:Oceanobacillus picturae, S1, WGS project CCAX01000000 data, contig: 000001